AACUCCAGUCCUCGAAGGCCGG
rnacentral:miRNA from 1 species